rnacentral:rRNA from 1 species
CAGAUGUGAAAGACCCGGGGCGUCAACCUCGGAAUUGCAUUUGAAACUAGGCAAACUAGAGUACUGUAGAGGGGGUAGGAAUUUCAGGUGUAGCGGUGAAAUAGCGUAGAGAUCUGAAGGAAUACCGGUGGCGAAGGCGGCCCCCUCGGACAGAUACUGACACUCAGAUGCGAAAGCGUGGGGAGCAAACAGGAUUAGAUACCCUGGUAG